rnacentral:rRNA from 1 species
CGGACGGGUGAGUAACGCGUGGGCAACCUGCCCUGUACUGGGGGAUAACACCUGGAAACAGGUGCUAAUACCGCAUAAGCGCGCAGUGCCGCAUGGCGCGGCGCGGAAAACCCCGGUGGUACAGGAUGGGCCCGCGUCUGAUUAGCUGGUUGGCAGGGUAACGGCCUACCAAGGCGACGAUCAGUAGCCGGCCUGAGAGGGUGGACGGCCACACUGGGACUGAGACACGGCCCAGACUCCUACGGGAGGCAGCAG